rnacentral:lncRNA from 1 species
UCCAAGUCCCCACUCGACCCAGGAAGUCAGGCUGGCUUCACCUGUCACUUACAUCAUCAUUUUUAGUGCUGUCACCUCUGUCCUUCUUUCUUCAUCCCUAAAGGCAUAGUUGGCUUACAACCUGUGCUGUAUUGACUCUUCCCUUUUUCUCCCCUGGGUUUUUUUUUUUCCCUCUCCCUUAAUUUGCUCCCAGAAAAUACCACGUGUCAGGGCUGGGUAAAGAUGCAAGUGUCCAGUUUGGUCAGUAUUUAGAAGAUGAGAAUAAUUGAAGGUCAGACUUGACCUUUUCUUCAAUGCUUCCCCAAAUUCCAAAUUAUUUUCUGCCUGAGGGAAGGAAAAGCAUUGCCUCCUGCCAGAGACAGCCAAGAUGCUGCAGAAGCAACAGCUGGCCAGAAGUGAUUUUCUGUGAUUUUCCCUUCCUGUGGAGCAUGCCAGUCAUAGAAAUGGAGCAUUAUGUUUCUAGGGAUGCUUGCUCUUGGAAGUUGGCCACCAUGCUGUAAGGAAGUCCAGGCCACAUGGAGAAGCCAUGUAUAGAUGUUCGAGCCAACAAUCCCAGCUGAGGUCCUAACCAAAAGCCGUCAUCAACCACCAGAUACAUAAGUGAGACCUUGAGAUGACUCUAGCCUAAGCAGUAUCAGACUGAAACUACAAGAGAGAUUUGAGCAAGAAGCACCAAGUUGAGCCCAGUCCACCUCCAGAACCUUAACAGAUAAUAAUAUAUUGUUAUUUUACAUCACUAAGUUUAGAGUGUUUUGUUACACUGAAAUAGAUAACUGAUACAUAGUUGGAUAGUACAUUGUAAUUUAUAAAGCACUUUUACUUUCAUUCUCAUAACUCUCACAAUCUUGUGGAUGUAGAUAAGAAGAUUCUUUAUGCAGAGGAAAAAGCUGGAGCUCUGAGAGUUAGGAAUCUGGGAUUAUAAAUAUGAGAGAACUGGCCUAUAUCCUAUUUCAGGUACUAUUAAUAGCUACAUGCUCUUAGACAGUUUACUUAAAUUUUGAAAGACUGUUUCUUUAUCUGUAAAAUGGGUAUAAUGUUACCAACCUUACAGGGCUGAGCAAUGGGUUGUCUAAUGCAUGUGAAGUCAUUAGCACCACCUCAUCUCAAUAAAUGUUUCUGGUUUGGGGGCCCAAUACCUUGGAGGUAGUCUUGACUCCUUUUUUUAUCCCUCACAUUAAACCCUCAGCAUAUUGUAGCAGCUCCAGCUUCAGAAUACAUGAAGAACCCCAUGACUUCUCCCAAUCUCCACUGGUCCAAGCCCCUAUCAUCCCUCCCCUUCACUAGGGCAAUUGUCCCUAUGAUCUUCCUGCUCUACCCUUGCCUCCACAUGAGUCUGUUUUCCAUACAGCUGCAGAAGUGACCCAGCAAUCAUGGGAUCGGGUUGUGUCAUGCCUAUGGCUUCCCAUUCAGCAUAUUCUAGCCGCUCCAGCUGCAGAAUACAUGAAGAACCACAUGCCUCCUCAUUCCACUCAGAGCAAAAAGUCCCAACAGGAAACAGCCAGGCCUGUGUGCAUAAUCUGCUCCCUGUUAUCUCUCCCACCUCAUCUUCUUCCACUUUUUCCCCUUGCUCGCUCCCCUUCUGCCUUGCUGGCCUCCUUACUUCUCAAAAGGACCAGGCCUGUUCCAGCCUCAGGUCCUUUGCAGUUGCUCUUCCCUGUACCUGAGAGACUUUUUCUCCAGGCAUCUACCGGGCUCAUCCAUCCCUUCUUUGGAGACUUUACUCAAAUGGUAGCUCUUACUAAGGCUUUCAAAGACCAUCUUAUUUAAAACUGCCACCUUCCAGUACUCCAGCACUCCCAUCCUCCUCCCUAAUUUACUUUCUCUCUAGUGCUCAUCAUCAUCAGACAUUCCAUAUGCUUCGACUUAUUUAUCUGUCUGUCUCCAACGAUACCCAAUAGAGAGUGGCUUUAUGAGAGCAAAAAUCUCUGUCAUUUUUUUUUGUUACUUAAGUCUGAGAACCUAGAACAGUGUAUUUGUUCAUCAUAAAUGAGUGCUUGACAACUGAUUUAAAAUUUUCUUAAAGGAUAGCUAUUGUCAUAUUAUUAGAAUUGAAACCCAAGUUUUCUGACUUCUACCUGUAUAUCCACUUAGUGGGUUGAAUAAUUGGCAUCCUCAAAAGAUAUGCCACCUCCUAAACCUCAUAACCUGUGAAAGUGGCCUUUUUUGGUAAAAAGGUCUUGGCAGAUGUAAUUAAGGAUUUUAAGAUGAAAUCAUCCUGAAUUUAGCAUGAUCCCUAAAUCCAAUGACAGAUUUCCUUAUAAGAAGAAAAAAGGCAUAGAGAUUCAAGAGGAGAUGACCAUGUAAAGAGGGAGGCAGAGAUUGGAGUAAUGCAUCUGCAAGUCAAGAAACAUGAAGGACUGCCAUGCAGCCACCAAAAGCUAGGAGAGAGACAUGAACUGAUUCCUUCUCAGAGCCUCCAGAAGGAACCAACCCUGCCAGCACCUUCAUUUUGGACUUCUAGCUUCUACAACUAUAAGAGAUUACAUUUCUGUUAUAAGCCCAGUUUUGUUACAGCAGCUCUCAGAAACUAAUACAUCUGCUACACCCUGAUGUCUCCUUGGAGACCAAAUUGGUCUCCAACUCAGCCUGGCAAUCUAGACUUGAGCUUAUUCUGCCGUCAGGCCUCAUUGUAAACUGUAUGCCAUUUUUCCAUGUGGACAAGCACCUUGGCACAGCCUCUACUGUAGUCUGGGUACCACGUUGGCCACUUCUCUCACCAGCCCAGUCUGACCUCUGAUCUUGAUGCUUCCCAGCUUCUCCUGACCAUGGUUCAGUGCUGCUGCACGUGGCUGAUAAGGUUCCUUGGUCCUGCCUGUGUGCCUGUAUUUCCAAUUAACAUCUCUAGACCUAAGUGGGCUGCACAAAAUACAGCAUUCAGAACCAGAACAAAUUGUCUUUUGAGUCCCAGCCAACUGUCUGUGGAUCACCCAGGGCUCCAUACCAGCUGGUGAUCUCACUGCCCCUCUGAACCUUCUGGCCAGACUGCAUUAAUAAACUGCUGAAAGAACCUUGGGUUCCUGUAACUUUUUCCAGGCUGAUGUCUACUGUGAUGUUUAAUUUAUGUUGUUAAGAAAUAGAAGAAGUGCACUCCUUCCUGCUUAAAAUGUUUAUGUCAGCCGAGAUCUGGCACUGUUUUUCCUGUAUCAUGAAGAAAGAGCAUUAGGAGGAAGAUUUUCUCUCUGAAUCCAGAAAGGUUUAGCAACAUCCUCCUCCAAACAGGUUGGGACAACAUCAUUUCAGAUUUCCCAAAACUUCUGGAUAGAUGUGGACUCCCUUGCACAAACUGGUACCCAAAUGUCAAAACUUCUUUCUUCUUAACCUGCAAACAGGGAUUGGCAACUAAACAGAUAGAUUUCAAAAUAUCUUCUGUUUCCUGUUAACCAAGUUGUCAUGCUCCCAACCUACCCUAAUUUGUCAACUCUUCCCUCAAUUCAGGCAAGAUGAAGCAAGGGACACCC